rnacentral:rRNA from 1 species
AUUGAACGCUGGCGGCAUGCCUUACACAUGCAAGUCGAACGGUAGAGGGGGCAACCCCUCGAGAGUGGCGAACGGGUGAGUAAAGCAUCGGAACGUGCCCAGUAGUGGGGGAUAGCCCGGCGAAAGCCGGAUUAAUACCGCAUGAGACCUACGGGUGAAAGGGGGGGAUCGCAAGACCUCUCGCUAUUGGAGCGGCCGAUGUCCGAUUAGGUAGGUGGGGGGGUAAAGGCCUACCAAGCCGACGAUCUGUAGCUGGUCUGAGAGGACGACCAGCAACACGGGGACUGCGACACGGCGCAGACUCCUACGGGAGGCAGCAGUGGGGAAUUUUGGACAAUGGGGGCAAGCCUGAUCCAGCCAUGCCGCGUGCGGGAAGAAGGCCUUCGGGUUGUAAACCGCUUUUGUCAGGGAAGAAAUCCUUUGAGCUAAUACCUCGGGGGGAUGACGGUACCUGAAGAAUAAGCACCGGCUAACUACGUGCCAGCAGCCGCCGCCGUAA